AUUGAACGCUGGCGGCAUGCCUUACACAUGCAAGUCGAACGGUAACGCGGGGGCGAACCCUCGGCGACGAGUGGCGAACGGGUGAGUAAUACAUCGGAACGUACCCAGUAGUGGGGAGUAGCUCGGCGAAAGCCGGAUUAAUACCGCAUACGACCUAUGGGUGGAAAGCGGGGAGUCNCAAGACCUCGCGCUAUUGGAGCGGCCGAUGUCGGAUUAGCUAGUUGGUGAGGUAAAGGCNCACCAAGGCUACGAUCCGUAGCUGGUCUGAGAGGACGACCAGCCACACUGGGACUGAGACACGGCCCAGACU
rnacentral:rRNA from 1 species